CCUGAGUAGAAGGAAACACACAGCUCCCCCAGAGCAGAGAGGCCCGCGAGAGGGAAAGCUGGCCCAGGCCCAGGGCAGGCUCGCCUCUGACUCUGCAGGGACAUUAUUCCCUCCCAGCCAGCAGGGAACUUCUGGAACUUCUAAACAGCACAUCCUCGAGCCAGCCCAGGCCCCCACAGCAUCCUGCACCCCAGGUUUACAAGCUUUUUAAUGAAAUCAGAGCACCACAGCCAGCUCUAGCCCAGAGGGAAAGUAAGAGGAUGUUUCUGCAGCAGCUGUCCUUUCUCCUGUAACUACUAAACUGUCGCCCCUCACUAAAGAGGAUGGCUUUGCCUAUGCUGUCCCCACCCCUUGAAGCGAGCUUCCUCCUCUAUUGGGAUAGGUAACUCUCUUUUCUUCAAUAAUUCUUUAAUGUUAUAAAAUACCUGCCAGUGUUCACAUUUCCCUGAAUGAUUUUUAAUUCUUUUUCCUUUUUUAGUAUGUUUGUUUGAAGUAGGAAUCUAAACAAGAUCUAUAUAUUGUGAUUAAUUGAUAUGUCUCCGAAGUCUC
rnacentral:lncRNA from 10 species